rnacentral:tRNA from 3 species
GGGCUAUUAGCUCAGUGGUAGAGCGCGCCCCUGAUAAUUGCGUACGGGCGAGGUCUCUGGUUCAAAUCCAGGAUGGCCCA